UGUUGUUUGGUCUUGGUUUUUCCACCACUUCUGACUGUAGCAGAGACUUCUAAUUAUGUAGAAUUGUAGAAAUAAUGGGGUAAAUCCUCAGCUGAGGUGCAUUGGUGUUGCCUCAUUGAAGUGUAUGGAGCUACCCCAAUUUACAUAAGUUGAGUUUCUGCUCCCAAAUCUGUAGGAAAACUUAGGUCCAGAAUCUUCAAGCACUAUUUAAGGUCUGAUCAAACUCCUACCAAAUUCAAUUGGAGUCUUUCAAAUUACUUCAGAGGGAGAUCGAUUGGGUCCUAAAAGUUUCAGAGUUCUUCAAGUGUUUUUCUUCUGUACUUUAUCAUACUGAAUGUUCCAAUUUCUGCUCCCACUCCUCCCGCACUUCCUUUUUCAUUUUCCCCUACCAACUGGUGAGAGAACGUCAGUGAAACCUGGAGACACAGAAAUGUUCAAAGGUACAGGCAGCCUGCAUGCAGCUCUGGAACAGUGUCAAAAAUUUCCUGUUGAAAAGAAUUUUCAAUGUACUUCACAGGUAGUAAUAAGAACAGAAGAUGGCCCCAGCUGUUGAGACUAGAGGUUUCAUUCUGCAAUUCCUAUGCAUGGAAAAUUUGGAUCAGCUUCACAAGUAAUAUUUCUGCAUAUGUGGGGGCUUUCAGGAUCAGGCUCAUUCAUCUCAUUUACAUCAAUGACAGCAAAAGCGUAUUUGGACUAUCCUUUGCAGAGAGGAGCCAGUUCAAUAAGAGGGGCCUUCUUCAUCCCUGCAACAUCCCAUUUCUAUGUUUGUGUAACUCUGCUGAGAUCAAUGCAUAGAUGAUAGUAAAAAAACAG